UUUAUGGAGAGUUUGAUCCUGGCUCAGGAUGAACGCUGGCGGCGUGCCUAAUACAUGCAAGUCGAGCGAACGGACGAGAAGCUUGCUUCUCUGAUGUUAGCGGCGGACGGGUGAGUAACACGUGGAUAACCUACCUAUAAGACUGGGAUAACUUCGGGAAACCGGAGCUAAUACCGGAUAAUAUUUUAAACCGCAUGGUUCAAAAGUGAAAGACGGUCUUGCUGUCACUUAUAGAUGGAUCCGCGCUGCAUUAGCUAGUUGGUAAGGUAACGGCUUACCAAGGCAACGAUGCAUAGCCGACCUGAGAGGGUGAUCGGCCACACUGGAACUGAGACACGGUCCAGACUCCUACGGGAGGCAGCAGUAGGGAAUCUUCCGCAAUGGGCGAAAGCCUGACGGAGCAACGCCGCGUGAGUGAUGAAGGUCUUCGGAUCGUAAAACUCUGUUAUUAGGGAAGAACAUAUGUGUAAGUAACUGUGCACAUCUUGACGGUACCUAAUCAGAAAGCCAC
rnacentral:rRNA from 1 species